rnacentral:rRNA from 1 species
UAACCAGGAUUCUCUCAGUAACGGCGAGUGAACAGAGAAUAGCCCAGCACUGAAGCCUGCGCUGUUUAAGCGUAAGGCAAUGUGGUGUUUAGGUGUAGACCUGGGAUUGGUCGUUGGCUCUAAGUCCAUUCUUGAAAAUGGCUGCUAAAACGGGUGAUAGCCCCGUACGAGUCAAUGUUGUGCAUACCUUUCCCCAGAUGUCUAUGCCUUGGAGUCGGAUUGUUUGAGAAUGCAGUCCAAAGUUGGUGGUAAACUCCAUCAAAGGCUAAAUACCUGCGUGAGUCCGAUAGCUAACAAGUACCGUGAGGGAAAGUUGAAAAGUACUCUAAAUAGAGAGUAAAUAGUACGUGAAACUACAUGGAGGUUAACCGAACGGAGUCAGACUUCUCGACUGCCGCAGUUUAGCCGGGGUUGUGUGGAAGGUUAGCUUUGCCUCGCGCUUGCUUAAAAUCUUUCGUGUGCUUUUAUUACAAGGUACGAGUUCAUGGCAAAGGCUAAUUCCCCUGUGAUUCUGUGGUGGUUAGCAGCUCAUUCAGUGUCCACUUCUUGUUUACUUGUUAAACAUGGCGAGAUCUGAGCAAUCGGAUCACAUCAUGAUGGCAGAAAAUGGAGUUCCUUCGGGUUCGCUGUUUACUUGGCUUCGGCCUGCUUUCAGGAUAAGCAAGAUAGAGGUUCAUUGGUUGAUUGGCUGGCUAUGCGACAUGUUGAAUUGUUGUUGGUGUGUGGUAUCGUCACAAAGUGAGGUGCUAUUCAUCAGUAGCUUGGAUAUGUGGCGUUGGUCAGCUGUUAAAUGAGUUGUCGUAAGGAGACUUUCUGUUCGACCCGUCUUGAAACACGGACCAAGAAGUUUAACAUGUAUGCAAGUCAAGGAGUCUACGAAACUCUAUGGCGUAAUGAAAGUAAAGGUCCGUCAAAGUGGUCUGAGGUGUGAUCCUGUGGUUUCCCUUUCGGAGCCAUAGGCGCAACACCGGCCCGUCUAUUCAUAUAGUUGCUCGACCUCGGUUGAGUACGAUAUGGGGGCGGAGCAAGAGCAUACAUGUUGAGACCCGAAAGAUGGUGAACUAUGCUUGCGUAGGUUGAAGCCAGGGGAAACUCUGGUGGAGGACCGAAGCGGUUUUGACGUGCAAAUCGAUCGUCAAACGUGAGCAUAGGGGCGAAAGACUAAUCGAACCAUCUAGUAGCUGGUUCCCUCCGAAGUUUCCCUCAGGAUAGCUGGCACUCAUGAACAGUUUUAUCCGGUAAAGCGAAUGAUUAGAGGUAUUGGGGAAAUAUUUUCCUCAACCUAUUCUCAAACUUUAAAUGGGUAAGAUGCUUGUCUCGCUUAAUUGUAGUCAGGCCUUGAAUGUGAGUGCCAAGUGGACCAUUUUUGGUAAGCAGAACUGGUGAUGAGGGAUGAACCUAACGUGUAGUUAAGGUGCCUCAUGCAGACGCUCAUCAGAUACCACAAAAGGUGUUGAUGCAUUAAGACAGCAGGACGGUGGCCAU